CGUGGCUGUAGAACUGAGGGCCUCUGUGUCUGGUAGACUGUUGGCCGGAGGCCACCUGCAGCUUCUGGAAGCUGCAUGUGGGCGUCUUCCACAUCUUACUUCCUCAUGCCAACAAGGAGAAUUCCUGUUGAGAAUUUGCCAGCACAAUGGAGUUGUAUAUAAUCCAACACAACCAUGGGGAUGACAAGCCAACACUGCUUCCAUAUUCUGCUGUUUAGAAACCAGUUGAGAAAUCUGUCUCACAUUCAAGAGGAGGCCAUUGCACAAAUGCAUAAAAAGCAGAAGAAGGGUAUCCUUGUGGUCUCCUUAGGGUCUUCCCACCACAGUGGGUCUGAUUUCUCUCCACAUGGAGAUGGAAAGUAUGUGAAUGAAUAAAUUAAAGAACAAGAGUAACCUACCUAUCUGUAUUUUUUGGUUAUCUUUUUCUUUAUUCAUGGCUCCCUCUAAAAAUUUCAUAUAAUUAUUUACUGCUGUAUAACAAACCAUACCCCAAAUUAAUGGUUUAAUACAAUAAUUAUUUUAUUUGCUUGCUAUUCUGUGUUUCAACAGUAUGAAUUGGGCUCUGCUGGUUCUGCUGGUCUCUGGUGGAGUCACUCAUAUGGCUGCAGCCAAAUUGCAGCUUGACUGUGUGGUUUAACAGUGAGCUUCCUCACUGGGGACUGGCAAUGCUACAGGCUAGCUCCCAGUCUACAGCAGGUUGGCCAGUCUUUUUCACAUGACAUGUAGUUUCCAAAAGGAAAACAAUCUGCAAGACUCAGAAGCUGUAUAGUAUUACGUUUGCUAUUCUAUUGAUCACAGUAGAUCCCAAGGUGAGUCCACAUUCAACAGGUGGAAAAAUAGACUCCACCUCUUUUCCUUUCUACAUUACAUAAUUAAAAUCUGAACACUUGGGGCUGGGGCUCUAGCUCAGUGGUAGAACGCUUGCUUUGCACAAGUUAGGCACCGGGUUCGAACCUCAGCACCACAUAAAAAAUAAAUUAAUAAGAUAUUUUGUGUUCAUCUACAGCUAAAAAAAAAUCUGAACACUUCAAGAUUUACAUGAUAGUUAUUUCAGGUAUCGAUCCUCAUAUACAAGAUGAGGUUAGAGAUAUAAUGGUAUUUUUAAAAAUUUCUUUUAGUUGUCAAUGGACCUUUAUUUUAUUUAUUUAUAUGUGGUGCUGAGUAUUGAACCCACUGCCUCACACAUGCUAGGCAGGCGCUCUACCACUGAGCUACAAUCCCAGCCCCAAGAUAGAAUGGUAUUUAAUAUUUAUUUUUGUUAAAGUAGUUAGUUGAUCUUUGCUCAUAUGCAAUAAUACAUUACCUAUGAAUGUCUUCACGUGUUAGUCUUAAAUAUUACUGAAUUUAUUCUUAAUAAGUUGCAGUGGUUUGUUCCAAUCAAAACUCAUGUUGAAAUGGGUUACUAAUAUAGUGGUGUUGGAAGGUAGGUUCUUUAAGAAAGAGUAAUGCGUUUCUCCUUAGACUGGAUUAAUUCUUACAGAAUUAAUGUAGUUCUCAGGAGAGUGCGUUGUUGUAAGCAUCUGUUCCUUCAACGCCUCCUCUCUUCUUCCUGUACCAGCUCCCAACUCUUAUAGGGUGAUAUCAUGAGCCAUG
rnacentral:lncRNA from 1 species